rnacentral:rRNA from 1 species
GAUGAACGCUGGCGGCGUGCCUAAUACAUGCAAGUCGAGCGAACGGACGAGAAGCUUGCUUCUCUGAUGUUAGCGGCGGACGGGUGAGUAACACGUGGAUAACCUACCUAUAAGACUGGGAUAACUUCGGGAAACCGUAGCUAAUACCGGAUAAUAUUUUGAACCGCAUGGUUCAAAAGUGAAAGACGGUCUUGCUGUCACUUAUAGAUGGAUCCGCGCUGCAUUAGCUAGUUGGUAAGGUAACGGCUUACCAAGGCAACGAUGCAUAGCCGACCUGAGAGGGUGAUCGGCCACACUGGAACUGGGAAACGGUCCAGACUCCUACGGGAGGCAGCAGUAGGGAAUCUUCCGCAAUGGGCGAAAGCCUGACGGGGCAACGCCGCGUGAGUGAUGAAGGUCUUCGGAUCGUAAAACUCUGUUAUUAGGGAAGAACAUAUGUGUAAGUAACUGUGCACAUCUUGACGGUACCUAAUCAGAAAGCCACGGCUAACUACGUG